AUUGAACGCUGGCGGCAGGCCUAACACAUGCGAGUCGAACGGUAACAGGAAGCAGCUUGCUGCUUUGCUGACGAGUGGCGGACGGGUGAGUAAUGUCUGGGAAACUGCCUGAUGGAGGGGGAUAACUACUGGAAACGGUAGCUAAUACCGCAUAACGUCGCAAGACCAAAGAGGGGGACCUAAGGGCCUCUUGCCAUCGGAUGUGCCCAGAUGGGAUUAGCUAGUAGGUGGGGUAACGGCUCACCUAGGCGACGAUCCCUAGCUGGUCUGAGAGGAUGACCAGCCACACUGGAACUGAGACACGGUCCAGACUCCUACGGGAGGCAGCAGUGGGGAAUAUUGCACAAUGGGCGCAAGCCUGAUGCAGCCAUGCCGCGUGUAUGAAGAAGGCCUUCGGGUUGUAAAGUACUUUCAGCGGGGAGGAAGGUGUUGAGGUUAAUAACCUCAGCAAUUGACGUUACCCGCAGAAGAAGCACCGGCUAACUCCGUGCCAGCCGCCGCCGUAA
rnacentral:rRNA from 1 species